rnacentral:tRNA from 1 species
AGUUUAUGAGCUUGAAUAAGCAUAUAUUUUGAAAAUAUAAGAUAGGAAAGUUCCUAUAAACUU